AUUGAACGCUGGCGGCAGGCCUAACACAUGCAAGUCGAACGGUAGCACAGAGAGCUUGCUCUUUGGGUGGCGAGUGGCGGACGGGUGAGUAAUGUCCGGGAAACUGCCCGAUGGCGGGGGAUAACUACUGGAAACGGUAGCUAAUACCGCAUAACGUCGCAAGACCAAAGUGGGGGACCUUCGGGCCUCACACCAUCGGAUGUGCCCAGAUGGGAUUAGCUAGUAGGUGGGGUAAUGGCUCACCUAGGCGACGAUCCCUAGCUGGUCUGAGAGGAUGACCAGCCACACUGGAACUGAGACACGGUCCAGACUCCUACGGGAGGCAGCAGUGGGGAAUACUGCACAAUGGGCGCAAGCCUGAUGCAGCCAUGCCGCGUGUAUGAAGAAGGCCUUCGGGUUGUAAAGUACUUUCAGCGGGGAGGAAGGCGGUGAGGUUAAUAACCUUGCCGAUUGACGUUACCCGCAGAAGAAGCACCGGCUAACUCCGUGCCAGCAGCCGCCGUAA
rnacentral:rRNA from 1 species